rnacentral:lncRNA from 1 species
CUGAACACAAAUGAACCACAUAAAGAGUAGUCAACCCAAAAAUAUAUAUACAGCACCUUUUCUAAAUUUGAUAUCCAGGUCGAAGAGCCAUGACUGAUCCAUCUAACCCAAACUUCACAUCAAUAUAUAUCCAUACAUACAUACACACACACACAUAUACAUACAUACAUACGCAUAUACACAUACAUACAUAUACAUACAAACAUAUAUAACUCCACCAUUGCCAGCCCCAAGCCCAAAUGAGAAAGGAGGGUUUUCUUAAGUUCACAGCCAGCAGAAAACUUUUGCCAGAUCCCAAUCAUGAAUUAGGGAACCCCAAAGAGUUGGGGAUAAAGGCUUGGAUGAUGAUGAUGAUGUUCCCUCUUAUCCUUGAAGGGAGAAAAGCCACAAUUAACCUUCAGUAUCUGAGGAUAAAGGCUGCACAAAAAAGUAAUUUUUCCAACAUUCUAGAUUGGAUUUGAAUUCCAAUGUCAUAUUUGAACUCAUUGAUACCCAAAGAUUUUGAAGUGCUUUGCACUCUGCAAUGCUUUUUCUCAGGUGCUUUAAUUCACAAUAGAAUUUCUACUAAAAUAAGGAGUCUGUUGCAUUUCUUCACAAAAAGAGGCCUACUAAAAGGAGUGCUUACUUUGCUUUAAGAGCGCAAAGCUUCUCAUUGCUUGAAUAGGAGCCCAAGUUACGGCUGCUUUUUUAAUGCUUUGCAUGGCUGCACCGUAGGCAUCAAAUAAGAAGUUGUUUUCCCUUACGCUUUAGCAGGCAUCUAGCAACAAGCGCUCAAAGCAAGUGGCUUAAGCAGUUCCAUUUGCUUUAGCUUAAAGAAUAGCAAUACGAAUUUGAGCACCCUUACUUUUGCUCAAAUCGCAGUAGGAACCUCUUAAAUGGUAUCUCAAGUUUUGCAUCACAAUAGGAGUCCAACUAAACCAAAAUUAUUCUUCACUCUGCAAUAGGAUUCAAAGUAAACUUUUACUGCUUUUCUCUCUAGUGUAUUAUAGAGUCCAGUUCAAUCAAAGAAUUACUUGUGCUUCUUGCUUCUUGGAGUUCAACUUCGAGAAAAAAAAAAAAAAACUUUUGCUCUCUCUUUGUGCUUUGCUUCACUUUUGAGUGUUUAGCUUUGUUAUACGAGUCUAAAAGAGAACUUUGCUUUCAGUAAGCUUUGCUAGAGGCUCUUCAUUUCCAUAGCUUUUUUUUUUUGCUUCAGUAUAGCAACCAAAAGAGCUCAAAGACAGGGUCAAAAGCUUUAGCAGUUGCCUUAACUUCAAGCACAUUAGCUAAAACAGUUCCAGAGCUUAAGCAUUUGCCUAAGCAUCAAGCACAGUUAUUUAUGCGCAUGAGUGAAAGGUAGCUUGAGGUGUUGUGCUAUAGGCAUUCGUACUCUUAAUGAGGGCAAUAGCACCAGUAAGAUUCCUAGCAUGAUAGUUCUCUAGAAGCAUGAUAGUUCUCAGCUAGCUGUCUUGCUUAUCAGCAAGUAAUAAGCUAUAUGCAUUACAGUUUCUAGUGUCCAGUUUAGAAAUGAGAUAUCCAUAAGCAAGCUUAUCGAGCAUACAAAAGCUUCUCCAAGUCCCUAUUUCCCUUCCCCUAAGGUCCCAACAACAACAUCAAUGGAGAGAGAGAAAAAGAGAGAGAGAGAGAGGUGGUCCAUCUACCCAAAUGGUUUACUGUUUCUAUAGAGAGAGAUAAAGAGGUGGCCACCUACCCUUUUUUUUUUUUGGGUUUUAGAGAGAGAAUGCCGAUUCCAACAAGCGGAGAAAAAUCCAUGGCAUGAGAUGGUUGUUUUUACUAGUUUUUAUUAACGUAGAGCGAGUCAAACUAGACACUCGACACUUAUCUAUGAAGAAAAUGAAUCAAAUUUAUCAAAUAGCACAUUAUGCUUGUUUCUCAUUGUUCUUGUGUAUUUAGUGUUAUCAUGAAAUAAUAUCCUUUUUGUUAAACUUAAAUUUAUAUUUCAAAAUUUGAAUAUAUUAUCCUACUAGGAUUCAAUUUUCAAGAAAAAAAAAGUCCUGGCCACCUAGACGGCUAGGCGGCCUCCCUAGGCGAGCGCCCAAGGCAAACACCUAGGUAGCCUGCAUAAGGGGGACGGUAGGGUUGCUAGACCCUGGCGGCUUGUUGGAACCCCUUGUUUUUCAUUAUAGAAUAUCAUUUUUUUGUUUUAUAAAUAUGGUUUUAUAGUUUGUUGUAUACAAUUUAUUGUUAAAUACAUAUCAAACUUAAACACACAUGACUAAAACUGUGAAUAAAAUAGUUAAAAGUUACAUUAAAGAAUGAAAAUUACCAGGCAUAAUUAGGAAAUGUUAAUUUUAUGCUUAUCCCAAAACUCAAGAUAUCCAUUAAGUCGCAAUAGAUAUCUGAGUUAAAAAAAGUCACAUCUGAAAAUUCAAAGGCUAUAAACUAGAAAAAUUAAUCUUCUCUACCCCAAAAUUAUAAUAAAUUCAAAUAUGAGGUUGAGUUUCAUCAACACCAGCAACAUGAAAUCCACGUCCAAGGCCAGUAUGAAAUGCACCUGAAUUUCAUGAUGAUUUCAAGCCAUCGUAAUUAGAGUCAUCCUCCUCGACCUUCUUCCCGUGUCUCCUCCGAAUCUUG